rnacentral:sRNA from 1 species
GCUGGGCGUGGUGGCACAUGCCUGUAAUCCCAGGUACUCGGGAGGCUGAGGCGGGAGAAUCGCUUGAGCCCGGGAGGCGGAGGUUGCAGUGAGCCAAGAUUGUGCCACUGCACUCUAGCUUGGGCAAGAGAGUGAGACUCCGUCUCAA